AACGAGGAAUCGCCAUCUGUCAUCAAAUACAGCAUCGACAGCACAGGUAACCAAUUAAAGACGUACUAUAUGUUGCUAAUGAAACGUGUCAGAAUAAACUUUUAACAGGAAAAGUGGAUACCGCGUCUGCCACAUGUAAUUACUGAAGUUGACUGUGUACUGCAAUACGACACUUCCAACCAUUAGUCAGUGUUAGAAUUUUGAUAAAUGUCACUACGCGAAACAAACAGAGUCAGUCCCUCGGCUUGUUAUCCAACAUACUUUGGUUAAAGGAUAAAAUUGGACAGAGACCGCAAUUAGAAGGCAUUCCUCUGACUUGUCGAAAUCAAAUUCGUCUUGUCUCCAGUACAUUUUCUAUUUAUACUUUCUCGUUUCGAAUUGUUAUGCAAAUGAUUUAACACCGAUAAAAUUGCGACUAGGAAAAGAAAUUUGCAUAAAGUUGCUGGAAACGUGGUUUAGAACCUCACCCAAGAACAAACAGGACGGACAGAAGAGCGAAGAGAAAAAGUAGAAGACCAUCAAAAAGCCGAUCAAUCAAAAGCAGUGCUAAAGUCCUUAUUAAACGUCUUAUUAUAACUAUCCCAAAACAGACAAUUAAGAGUACACUGUGAUCUUCCCACGAUGGACUAUUAUUGGAACGGUACUUGUCAAAAUAGUUGAUGAACGAUCGACAUUUUACUAAUCAUUAUCAUUAUAUAUAUUAGAUGGAGCGCUUCAAACGUUGCGAAGGACAAAAUAUUCAACAUAAGUGUGUGUUUAGUUAAAACAGGCUGCAAAAAUCACCUGUUUCUUUUUCAGGCUUUACGCUAUCUGUUCUGCAUAAAUGAUAGGGGCUUUAUUGUGUCCAAUGAUAGAUGAAGUCAAAUUCUCGUGGACAUUUUUUGAUUUUUACUAAAGAAAUUCGUAAAAAAUUAUAACUAAAUCACGUCAAAAUUUUAUUAAUAAAUUAUUCUCGUUAAAAAUAUGAAUGUCAUGUGUAAUGUGUUCGACUAAAAACGUAGCCUACAAGACACGUUUUUUUUUAAAAUUCAUUCUAAACACGAAUCAUCAUGAUUUACGCUUGUGUCGGCCUGAUUCAAAACGUCUCUUUUUUCAAGAAUUAAAUAUCAUCUCUUCACCGUGCAAUCCGAUUUUAACAUUGAACAUAUAUUUAACAUUUGUAUACGAUUGAUUAUUAUAGCAUCUAAUGGAUUGCGGUGUGUUUUUUACUCCUCUACAUCAGGUUUGUUAGAGCCAUUGUGAGUCAUUAAUAAGUCUACUCAGG